GAUGAACGCUGGCGGCGUGCCUAAUACAUGCAAGUCGAGCGAACAGACGAGGAGCUUGCUCCUCUGACGUUAGCGGCGGACGGGUGAGUAACACGUGGAUAACCUACCUAUAAGACUGGGAUAACUUCGGGAAACCGGAGCUAAUACCGGAUAAUAUAUUGAACCGCAUGGUUCAAUAGUGAAAGACGGUUUUGCUGUCACUUAUAGAUGGAUCCGCGCCGCAUUAGCUAGUUGGUAAGGUAACGGCUUACCAAGGCAACGAUGCGUAGCCGACCUGAGAGGGUGAUCGGCCACACUGGAACUGAGACACGGUCCAGACUCUUACGGGAGGCAGCAGUAGGGAAUCUUCCGCAAUGGGCGAAAGCCUGACGGAGCAACGCCGCGUGAGUGAUGAAGGUCUUCGGAUCGUAAAACUCUGUUAUUAGGGAAGAACAAAUGUGUAAGUAACUAUGCACGUCUUGACGGUACCUAAUCAGAAAGCCACGGCUAACUACGCG
rnacentral:rRNA from 1 species